GAGAUUAGAGUUUGAUCAUGGCUCAGGACGAACGCUGGCGGCGUGCUUAACACAUGCAAGUCGAACGAGGGCCCGGAGCUUGCUCUGGUGACCCGAGUGGCGGACGGGUGAGUAACACGUGACCAACCUACCUUCGGGAGGGGGACAACCUGGGGAAACCUGGGCUAAUACCGCAUAUCGUCCACGGGCCGCAUGACCUGUGGAUGAAAGGGAGCCUCUGCUUGCACGCUCUCACCCGAAGAGGGGGUCGCGGCGUAUCAGCUUGUUGGUGGGGUAACGGCCUACCAAGGCAACGACGCGUAGCGGGUCUGAGAGGACGACCCGUCACAUUGGGACUGAGAUACGGCCCAGACUCCUACGGGAGGCAGCAGUGGGGAAUAUUGCGCAAUGGCCGAAAGGUUGACGCAGCGACGCCGCGUGUGGGAGGACGCCCUUCGGGGUGUAAACCACUGUCAGGGGGGAAGAACUUCGUAGGUGUGAAUAGCGCCUGCGGUUGACGGUACCCCCAGAGGAAGCGCCGGCUAACUCCGUGCCAGCAGCCGCGGUAAGACGGAGGGCGCAAGCGUUGUUCGGAAUUACUGGGCGUAAAGGGCAGGUAGGUGGUCUGUUAAGUCUUCUGUGAAAAUCCGGGGCUCAACCCCGCGAAAUGCAGGUGAAACUGGCAGACUUGAGACCGGUAGAGGCUAGCGGAAUUCCUGGUGUAGCGGUGGAAUGCGUAGAUAUCAGGAAGAACACCUGUGGCGAAAGCGGCUAGCUGGGCCGGUUCUGACACUGAACUGCGAAAGCGUGGGGAGCAAACAGGAUUAGAUACCCUGAUAGUCCACGCCGUAAACGAUGGGCACUAGAUGCCGGGCAUAUAG
rnacentral:rRNA from 1 species